rnacentral:rRNA from 1 species
CGUAGGUAACCUGCCCAUGUGCCCGGGAUAACUUCUGGAAACGGAUGCUAAAACCGGAUAGGUAGCAGACAAGCAUUUGACUGCUAUUAAAGUGGCUAAGGCCAUGAACAUGGAUGGACCUGCGGUGCAUUAGCUAGUUGGUGAGGUAACGGCCCACCAAGGCGACGAUGCAUAGCCGGCCUGAGAGGGCGGACGGCCACAUUGGGACUGAGACACGGCCCAGACUCCUACGGGAGGCAGCAUG